rnacentral:tRNA from 2 species
UAGCUCAGUUGGUAGAGCGGCGCCCUUACAAGGCGUAGGUCACAGGUUCAAAUCCU